ACGACACAAUAAGACUAAUACAUUUCUAUUUGUUUCAAAUAAAUAAAAUCUUUUUCUUUUCUAUUCUUUCAGUUUUCACUCUAACCCUCAAAAACCAACCAACAAAUCAAAAAUGGGCGCUGAAAAGGUAUCCAUGAACAUCGUCGUCAUCGGACAAGUCCAAUCUGCCAAGGCCAUCAAGACCGUCGCCAAGGCCACACCAGCCAACAGCCAACUGAUUAACUGUUAAUUCAUGUACCUAGUCCAUACAUUACAAAACUCAAAAAUGCCAUAGUCCAAACAGUACAAUAAUAUGUAAUUCAUAAUAUCAGUAUUGACACCCAAAAAUAAAUCAGUAAUUUCCGAUGUACAUAUAAUUAUUUGGUCUUAUUUUUUAAUCAUUACCUAUUGCAAUGUCCAUAUUAACAUUCUGUAAUAUUUUAAUAAAUUACAAGGUGCUGUCGUA